rnacentral:tRNA from 3 species
GCGCCCGUAGCUCAGCUGGAUAGAGCGUCGCCCUCCGGAGGCGAAGGUCGAAGGUUCAAAUCCUUUCGGGCGUACCA